UACGGAGGGUGCGAGCGUUGUCCGGAAUCAUUGGGCGUAAAGGGCGCGUAGGUGGCCCGCUCAGCGUGCGGUGAAAGCUCGGGGCUCAACCCCGAGUCGGCCGUGCGAACUGGUGGGCUGGAGCACUGUAGAGGCAGGCGGAAUUCCGGGUGUAGCGGUGGAAUGCGUAGAGAUCCGGAAGAACACCGGUGGCGAAGGCGGCCUGCUGGGCAGUUGCUGACACUGAGGCGCGAAAGCUAGGGGAGCGAACAGG
rnacentral:rRNA from 1 species